rnacentral:pre_miRNA from 1 species
GAUUUCAACUGAAAAAGUCAUCAACAACAAAGUCGUAUAACUCACCAAGAUCUAUAACUUUUAUUUUUAUCAUUUCUUCAUCCGAUAAAGUGUUAAUAACAUUGUUCACAAGAUUCACAAAUCUGUGUUAUAGUUUAUAAAACCAGAUGAGGGAUAUGUGAUUUUGUGAACAAUGUUAGUAUCACUUUGUCGGAUGAAGAAAUGACCAAAAUAAAAGUUAUAGAUAUUGAUGAGUUAUACAACUUUAUUUUUGAUUUUUUGAUGACAUUUUCAGUCGAAAGC